rnacentral:rRNA from 1 species
CUACGGGUUGCAGCAGUGGGGAAUAUUGGACAAUGGGCGCAAGCCUGAUCCAGCAAUGCCGCGUGAGUGAAGACGGCCUUAGGGUUGUAAAACUCUUUCGCUAGGGAAGAUAAUGACUGUACCUAGUAAAGAAGUCCCGGCUAACUCCGUGCCAGCAGCCGCGGUAAUACGGAGGGGACUAGCGUUGUUCGGAAUUACUGGGCGUAAAGAGUUCGUAGGCGGACUGACAAGUUAGAGGUGAAAUCCCAGGGCUCAACCCUGGAACUGCCUUUAAAACUGUCAGUCUAGAGACCGGAAGAGGUUAGGGGAAUACCUAGUGUAGAGGUGAAAUUCGUAGAUAUUAGGUGGAACACCAGUGGCGAAGGCGCCUAACUGGUCCGGUACUGACGCUGAGGAACGAAAGCGUGGGGAGCAAACAGGAUUAGAUACCCGCGUAGUC